GACGAGCGCUGGCGGCGUGCUUAACACAUGCAAGUCGAACGGAAAGGCCCUGCUUUUGUGGGUUGCUCGAUUGGCGAACGGGUGAGUAACACGUGAGUAACCUGCCCCUGACUUUGGGAUAACUUCAGGAAACUGGGGCGAAUACCGGAUAGGAUCUCCUGCUGCAUGGUGUGGGUUGGAAAGUUUCGGCGGUUGGGGAUGGACUCGCGGCUUAUCAGCUUGUUUGUGGGGUAGUGGCUUACCAAGGCUUUGACGGGUAGGCGGCCUGAGAGGGUUACCGGCCACAUUGCGACUGAGAUACGGCCCAGACUCCUACGGGAGGCAGCGGUGGGGAGUAUUACACAACGGGCGGAAGCCUGAUGCGGCAACGCCGCGUGCGGGAUGACGGGCUUCGAGUUGUAAACCGAUUUCGCCUGUGACGAAGAGUGAGUGACGGUAAUGGGUAAAGAAGCACCGGCUAACUACGUG
rnacentral:rRNA from 1 species